rnacentral:rRNA from 1 species
CCCACUAUGCUUUGCCUAAACAUUGAUAGUUUGAUACAAUUACUAUCCGCCUGGGAACUACGAGCAGUAGCUUAAAACCCAAAGGACUUGGCGGUGCUUUAGACCCCCCUAGAGGAGCCUGUUCUAAAACCGAUAACCCCCGUUCAACCUCACCUUUUCUUGUUCCCCCCGCCUAUAUACCGCCGUCGUCAGCUUACCCUGUGAAGGACCUUUAGUAAGCAUAAUUGGCACUGCCCAAAACGUCAGGUCGAGGUGUAGCGUAUGGAAAGGGAAGAAAUGGGCUACAUUCCCUGUUACAGUGAAUUACGGAUAAUACCACUGAAACGUGUAUCUAGAAGGAGGAUUUAGCAGUAAGCAGAAAGUAGAGCGUUCUGCUGAAACCGGCCCUGAAGCGCGCACACACCGCCCGUCACCU